AGUCGAGGGGUAACAGGAGUAGCUUGCUAUUUGCUGACGACCGGCGCACGGGUGCGUAACGCGUAUAGAAUCUACCUUAUACUGGGGGAUAGCCUUUGGAAACGAAGAUUAAUACCCCAUAGUAUUAUUUUUUGGCAUCAUUAAAUAAUUAAAGUUUCGGCGGUAUAAGAUGACUAUGCGUUCUAUUAGUUAGUUGGUAAGGUAACGGCUUACCAAGACUUCGAUAGAUAGGGGUCCUGAGAGGGAGAUCCCCCACACUGGUACUGAGACACGGACCAGACUCCUACGGGAGGCAGCAGUGAGGAAUAUUGGACAAUGGAGGCAACUCUGAUCCAGCCAUGCCGCGUGUAGGAAGACUGCCCUAUGGGUUGUAAACUACUUUUAUAUGGGAAGAAUAAGAUCUACGUGUAGAUNGAUGACGGUACCAUAAGAAUAAGCACCGGCUAACUCCGUGCCAGCAGCCGCGGUAAUACGGAGGGUGCAAGCGUUAUCCGGAAUCAUUGGGUUUAAAGGGUCCGUAGGCGGGCAUAUAAGUCAGUGGUGAAAGUCUGUGGCUNAACCAUAGAAUUGCCAUUGAUACUGUAUGUCUUGAAUUAUUGUGAAGUGGUUAGAAUAUGUAGUGUAGCGGUGAAAUGCUUAGAGAUUACAUAGAAUACCGAUUGCGAAGGCAGAUCACUAACAAUAUAUUGACGCUGAUGGACGAAAGCGUAGGUAGCGAACAGGAUUAGAUACCCUGGUAGUCUACGCCGUAAACGAUGGAUACUAGUUGUUUGGUUUUCGGACUGAGUGACUAAGCGAAAGUGAUAAGUAUCCCACCUGGGGAGUACGUUCGCAAGAAUGAAACUCAAAGGAAUUGACGGGGGCCCGCACAAGCGGUGGAGCAUGUGGUUUAAUUCGAUGAUACGCGAGGAACCUUACCAGGGCUUAAAUGUAGUCUGACAGCUUUAGAGAUAGAGUUUUCUUCGGACAGAUUACAAGGUGCUGCAUGGUUGUCGUCAGCUCGUGCCGUGAGGUGUCAGGUUAAGUCCUAUAACGAGCGCAACCCCUGUGGUUAGUUGCCAGCGAGUAAUGUCGGGAACUCUAGCCAGACUGCCGGUGCAAACCGUGAGGAAGGUGGGGAUGACGUCAAAUCAUCACGGCCCUUACGUCCUGGGCCACACACGUGCUACAAUGGUAGGGACAGAGAGCAGCCACUUAGCGAUAAGGAGCGAAUCUAUAAACCCUAUCUCAGUUCGGAUUGGAGUCUGCAACUCGACUCCAUGAAGCUGGAAUCGCUAGUAAUCGGAUAUCAGCCAUGAUCCGGUGAAUACGUUCCCGGGCCUUGUACACACCGCCCGUCAAGCCAUGGAAGCUGGGGGUACC
rnacentral:rRNA from 1 species